UGUCUAGAUACUCCUGUGCCUGUCUGCCUGCCUUUCUCUCUUCUAGCCGCCCUCCCUCCCUUCCUGCCUUCCUUCUUUUACAGCUCACUCCACGUGGGAAGCCCUGUGAGUCUUCUCUUUGCCUAAACAGAAUGUGAAACUUCCCUGGGACUGAUGGGUUCUACGUCCUCCCUGCUCUGGUGGGGCUUGAAGAAUAUUCCGCCCUGGACAACUGCAGUCAGUCGGUCGUCUCGUUUUCCUCUCCAGCUCCCCCUCCUGCUCGUCUCUGGGGCUCCUUGGAGGUAAGAGACCUGUCUUCCGAACCCCAUCUCAGCCUCCAUGAUGGGAGGGCUCACAGGUGUUCCCUGUCCACCCAGCCCGUGCCACGUGCCAUCCACAUCCGAGCCCUGGCAGUGCACCGGGCCUGGCAGAAUCAGGCCGGCUCUGAG